rnacentral:rRNA from 1 species
UACGGGGGGAGCAAGCGUUGUUCGGAUUUACUGGGCGUAAAGGGCGCGUAGGCGGCCAGCGCAAGUCAGUUGUGAAAUCUCCGGGCUUAACUCGGAACGGUCAACUGAUACUGCGCGGCUAGAGUGCGGAAGGGGCAACUGGAAUUCUCGGUGUAGCGGUGAAAUGCGUAGAGAUCCGGAAGAACACCAGUGGCGAAGGCGGUUAGCUGGGCAGUUGCUGACACUGAUGCGCGACGGCGUGGGGAGCAAGCAGG